UUUAGGAAUGGGCUCAUGCCAUAGGGAUGUCUGAGAGGUGAAGUCAUUUUUCUCUUUCUCCUUUCAUCUGGAAUAGCUAAUCAACAGGUUCGGGGUGGAGGUUAACAUCCUGGGACUUUUAAGAGUAGGGCAUAAGAACUUUUUUUUUUUCUUUCUUUCCCCUUCAGUUUCUUGGUGUCCUGAGAUGCCACAGAGAAAGCCUAACUGCCUGCCACAGUUUGUUGAGCACUUAUUUGUAAGUGCUCAGUUUCAAGAGAAGAUAGGAAGACACACCCUCACUGGGGCUGGGAGGGAGGUGGUGCACCCAGUGAAGUGCACAGAGUAUCAAGCACAAGGACCCAAGUUUGAGCCCCUGCUCCCCACCUGCAGGAGGCUUCCCUUUGGGAGUUCUUUCCCUCUCUCUAUGUCCUUAUCUCUCCUUUUCUCUCUGUCCUGUCUAAUAAGAAAAAAAAAAAAAGGCCACUGGGAGCAGUAGAUUUGUAGUGCUGGCACUUAACCCUGGUGGCAAAAGAAGAAGAGGAGAAGGAGGAGGAGGAGGAGGAGGAAUUUACAGCUAUCAAUCUACCAAAUAUUAAAGCAACAUAACAAGUUCAGAUUCUCUUGAGUGCCUAUCCCUGUGCCAGACACACAGAAGGACACCGGAAGACCAUCUUUCUGCUUCCUGAGUGCCCACAUCAAGUUCAAACUUGAGCAAACAGAUUCAUGAGCUGGAUUAAUCAUGGUGUGACAAACUGGAAAGAAACACUAAAGCCAAAAAAAAAAAAAAAAAAAAAAAAAAAGAAAGAAAGAAGGAAAGAAAGAAAGAAAAGAAGAAGACACAUUUAGAGUAGACUCCAACUUCCAACUGCGUGCCUGUGCCCCAUAAAACAGCCUCACCAUGACACGUGAGCUUGAUUCACCGUUUGAGUCAAUUUCUUAAUCAUCGAUCAUUUGUCCUCACCCUUCCCCCACCACCCUGAGGCAAUGUUAGGGAGCUCUGAACAGAGCAAGAGGCAACCUUUCUGUCUCUUACUUCACCAUGGGAUUUCUUGAAGGCGAGAGGCCCCAGGACGCCGAGGCUGAUUCAGCUCCCCUCACCGUGAACUGCUGGUUCUGACCAAGGAGGGCAGAAGAGAGAGGGAGGAAACUGGAGUGACUCAGGCCAGCUGCUGUCCACUUUGGCACCAAGUGACAAGUUCUUCAUGUUCAGGAAAGGCCUCUGUGAGCAAGAAGAAGUUGGGUGAUUGCAGGUGGGCUGAAAAGGGCUUUGUUAUCUGGCCUGUGGAAUCCUGGCUUCUCAGCCCUUAGGCUUACUAACCAGUUCCUGCUGAGCACAUGACUUCCAAGAGCCUCCAGCGGGAGCUGAAGAUAAUAACAACUCACUUUGCAACUUUGUUGAAAGGAUUAACGGAGAUAAAGCCUAUACUCCUUAGGCAGAAGGCCCAGCCUAUGGUUCCAGAUGCUACCAUGAUGCCAACCAGACUUCCCUGGACAGACAACCCCACCAAUGUGUCCUGGAGCCCUUCUUCCCCACUAAGGAAAGAGAGAGACAGGCUGGGAGGAUGGAUCGACCUGUCAACGCCCAUGUUCAGCGGGGAAGCAAUUACAGAAGCCAGACCUUCCACCUUCUGCAUCCCACAGUGACCCUGGGUCCAUGCUCCCGGAUGGUUAAAGAAUAGGAAAGCUACCAAGGGAUGGGAUGGGAUACAGAGUUCCAGUGGUGGGAAUUGUGUGGAGUUGUACCUAUGGUUUUGCCAACGUUUCCUUUUAUAAAUAAAAAAAAUCCAUCUUCAAAAAAAUGAAAAAGGAAAGAAAGUCUUAUGAAUAUUCAUAUAUGUAAACACAUAUACAUAUGCACAUAAUAAUUCAUUUAUUUAUCCUACUAUUAGAGACUAGACCCCAAGAACCAUGCAGUAGCCAGUCUCCCUGGAGAGCCACACAGACUGGGGUCAUAUAGGCCGAGGUAACUGCAUGUAACACCCAAGGAGAUAGAGAGGAAUUUUGGGGUC